GAUGAAGAACGCAGCGAAAUGCGAUAAGUAAUGUGAAUUGCAGAAUUCAGUGAAUCAUCGAAUCUUUGAACGCACAUUGCGCCCCCUGGUAUUCCGGGGGGCAUGCCUGUUCGAGCGUCAUUUCACCACUCAAGCCUCGCUUGGUAUUGGGCAACGCGGUCCGCCGCGUGCCUCAAAUCGACCGGCUGGGUCUUCUGUCCCCUAAGCGUUGUGGAAACUAUUCGCUAAAGGGUGUUCGGGAGGCUACGCCGUAAAACAACCCCAUUUCUAAGGUUGACCUUGGAUCAGGUAGGGAUACCCGCUGAACUUAAGCAUAUCAAUAAGCGGAGGA
rnacentral:misc_RNA from 1 species